UGCUGAAUUCUGAACAAGUUGAAGUUUAUGGAGGCAUUUGUGAUGGACACCGAAGAGAAGUGAAUUGCAGUAGUCGAUACGGGAGGUGACGAGACUGUGAACAAGGAUAGCAGUGGUGUGAGGAGUGAGUGAGGGACGGAGCCGGUUGAUAUUACGAAGGUGGAAAUACGCGGACCGGGUAAUGUUAUUGAUGUGGGAGUGAAAGGAUAGUGAGCUGUCAAGGAUGACACCCAAGCUCUUCACCUGGGGGAAAGGAGAUACAGUGGAAUUAUCAAUUUUGAGGGAAAAACGGUCGGCUUUGUCUAAAGUAGAUUUGGUACAGACGAGGAGUUCUGUUUUAUUGUUGUUUAGCUUGAGGAAAUUAUGGGUGAAACAAGAUUUGAUUUCUGGGAGACAGUGAGAGAGGGAUGAGGGUGGGAGGGAGGCGUCGGGUUUGCUGGAGAGGUAGAGCUGGGUGUCAUCCACCAAGUAGUGAAAGUGUAUACCAAAUUUACGGAAUAUAUUGCCAAGGAGGGAAGAAGGUAGAUGAUGAAAAGGAGGGGACCCCGGACAGAACCCUGGGGCACACCAGAAGAGACGGGGAGGGAUUGUGAAGUGAAAGAAUUAAGUUGGAUGAACUUUAAGUUGAAUGAACUGAAAGCGGCCAGUGAGAUAUGAGUGAAACCAACGUAGGGGGGUGUGGGUGAUGCCUAUGGUAGAGAGUCUGUUGAGGAGGAUGGGGUGAAAGAUUGUGUCGAAGGCUGCACUCAGGUCAAGGAUCAUGAGGGUGGAGGCUAG